rnacentral:rRNA from 1 species
UGGGGAAUAUUGCACAAUGGGGGGAAACCCUGAUGCAGCGACGCCGCGUGAGUGAAGAAGUAUUUCGGUAUGUAAAGCUCUAUCAGCAGGGAAGAAAAUGACGGUACCUGACUAAGAAGCCCCGGCUAACUACGUGCCAGCAGCCGCGGUAAUACGUAGGGGGCAAGCGUUAUCCGGAUUUACUGGGUGUAAAGGGAGCGUAGACGGCAUGGCAAGUCUGAAGUGAAAUGCGGGGCUCAACCCCUGAACUGCUUUGGAAACUGUCAGGCUGGAGUGCAGGAGAGGUAAGUGGAAUUCCUAGUGUAGCGGUGAAAUGCGUAGAUA